UAGCUAGUUGGUGAGGUAACGGCCCACCAAGGCGACGAUUGGUAGCCGGACUGAGAGGUUGAACGGCCACAUUGGGACUGGGACACGGCCCAGACUCCUACGGGAGGCAGCAGUGGGGGAUAUUGCACAAUGGGGGAAACCCUGAUGCAGCGACGCCGCGUGGAGGAAGAAGGUUUUCGGAUUGUAAACUCCUGUCGUUAGGGACGAUAAUGACGGUACCUAACAAGAAAGCACCGGCUAACUACGUGCCAGCAGCCGCGGUAAAACGUAGGGUGCAAGCGUUGUCCGGAAUUACUGGGCGUAAAGGGAGCGCAGGCGGACCGGCAAGUUGGAAGUGAAAACUAUGGGCUCAACCCAUAAAUUGCUUUCAAAACUGCUGGCCUUGAGUAGUGCAGAGGUAGGUGGAAUUCCCGGUGUAGCGGUGGAAUGCGUAGAUAUCGGGAGGAACACCAGUGGCGAAGGCGACCUACUGGGCACCAACUGACGCUGAGGCUCGAAAGCAUGGGUAGCAAACAGGAUUAGAUACCCUGGUAGUCCAUGCCGUAAACGAUGAUUACUAGGUGUUGGAGGAUUGACCCCUUCAGUGCCGCAGUUAACACAAUAAGUAAUCCACCUGGGGAGUACGACCGCAAGGUUGAAACUCAAAGGAAUUGACGGGGGCCCGCACAAGCAGUGGAGUAUGUGGUUUAAUUCGAAGCAACGCGAAGAACCUUACCAGGUCUUGACAUCCGAUGCAUAGUGCAGAGAUGCAUGAAGUCCUUCGGGACAUCGAGACAGGUGGUGCAUGGUUGUCGUCAGCUCGUGUCGUGAGAUGUUGGGUUAAGUCCCGCAACGAGCGCAACCCUUAUUGCCAGUUACUACGAAAGAGGACUCUGGCGAGACUGCCGUUGACAAAACGGAGGAAGGUGGGGAUGACGUCAAAUCAUCAUGCCCUUUAUGACCUGGGCUACACACGUACUACAAUGGCGUUUAACAAAGAGAAGCAAGACCGCGAGGUGGAGCAAAACUCAAAAACAACGUCUCAGUUCAGAUUGCAGGCUGCAACUCGCCUGCAUGAAGUCGGAAUUGCUAGUAAUCGCGGAUCAGCAUGCCGCGGUGAAUACGUUCCCGGGCCUUGUACACACCGCCCGUCACACCAUGAGAGCCGGGGGGACCCGAAGUCGGUAGUCUAACCGCAAGGAGGACGCCGCCGAAGGUAAAACUGGUGAUUGGGGUGAAGUCGUAACAAGGUAGCCGUAC
rnacentral:rRNA from 1 species